AUACGGAGGAUGCAAGCGUUAUCCGGAAUUACUGGGUUUAAAGGGUGCGUAGGCGGUUUAAUAAGUCAGAAGUGAAAAGUCCGGGUUCAACCGGGGCCUUGCUUUUGAUACUGUUAGACUUGAAUUAGGCUGAGGUUAGCGGAAUGUGACAUGUAGCGGUGAAAUGCAUAGAUAUGUCAUAGAACACCAAUUGCGAAGGCAGCUAACUAGACCUUAAUUGACGCUGAGGCACGAAAGCGUGGGGAGCGAACAGGAUUAGAAACCCCAGUAGUCC
rnacentral:rRNA from 1 species